rnacentral:rRNA from 2 species
AUUAUUAGCUUUAACCCAACUUACACAUGCAAGUCUCCGCAACCCCGUGAGUAUGCCCUUAAUCCCCGACCCCGGGGACGAGGAGCGGGCAUCAGGCACAAGUUUUUAGCCCAAGACGCCUGGCCGAGCCACACCCCCAAGGGAAUUCAGCAGUGAUAAAUAUUAAGCCAUAAGUGAAAGCUUGACUCAGUUAGGGUUAAGAGGGCCGGUAAAACUCGUGCCAGCCACCGCGGUUAGACGAGAGGCCCCAGUUAAUAAUACACGGCGUAAAGGGUGGUUAAGGGAAGUAUAGUAAUAAAGCCGAAUGGCCCUUUGGCUGUCAUACGCUUCUAGGUGUCCGAAGUCCAGUAUACGAAAGUAGCUUUAAUAAAGCCCACCUGACCCCACGAAAGCUGAGAAACAAACUGGGAUUAGAUACCCCACUAUGCUCAGCCGUAAACCCAGACGUCCAGCUACAAUUAGACGUCCGCCAGGGCACUACGAGCAUUAGCUUGAAACCCAAAGGACCUGACGGUGCCUUAGACCCCU